rnacentral:lncRNA from 1 species
UUAGAGUCCAAUGUGCCAGUAUGCAUGACGCGGUUAACUUAAAAAAAAAUCAUGAAUCACACGAUGUCUCAACUCAACCAAAGAAACGAUUUUUCUAAAACCAAGCCCCUUGUAUAUAAAUAAUACCAUUUAAAAACUUAAAAAUCGAAAUCCACAUGAUGCUUGACAAAGCAAAAAUUGCAAGCAAGUCGAAAAAUGGAAAUCGUCACCAAUCAUAAUCUCAAAGUCAUAACUUAGCAGUAGCCUGCUCCAGAACACAUAGAUUAAGACAUGUUGAACUAAGCCUUAUCCACCUGCAAUAAAAAAAUAAAAAUAAAAAUACCCCUCUUAUGAACUCAGUCCAACCUCGAGGCCACGUAGAAAAUAAAAAAUAUAAACAGAACAUAAUAAAAAAAAAAAACCUAUGUGAUUUACCUUCCUCAUAAGGAUGAAUAACCUCUGAUCAAGCUCAAAUUUAGCUGCAAUUGAGGGGUCGCCCCUCAACAACAUUAAUAAACCGCCAAAUGAAACAUAAAUGUCCCUGAAAAAAAAGUGCAAGUAAGAUACAAGUUGAAGUCAUCGUAACCAAAUUGCACCCAAUUAAUAUCUACCCUGCUGUUC